AUCCAGCUGAUGUGUUGCAAAUGGGACGAAACGUGCGUCCUGAAU
rnacentral:hammerhead_ribozyme from 1 species